UGCCUGUAAAUCAGAAUGCACGAAUGUCAGCACCGGCAGCACUAGGUGGGCUGCAUAGAAUGUACGAACUAUGAAAUACACUUAGGUAAGUAACACAAAAGCUUAUGUUGUAUCAAUAAAAAAUACUGAUGCUUGUCAUUGACUCGUGCCUGCAGGUCUGUGCGCACUUUAAUGUGAUGAAAAAUAUUGCAAUUCUUCUUUAUUUGGUACUACAAAGGAAGUAUUACCUUCUCACCAAGAGCAUCUUGAAUUAUGACCGUAUCGCUAGACAUUCUAGAAACUGCUUCACCAGUUGUCAUUUCUGUAUCGAAGAAUGCAAUAUCCUGUCUCAGAACAGAUUUCAGGUACAAAGAACGGAUGCGGGCUGACUGCCUUUCUCCUGCCAUUGUCCAGCAUGCCACCUCUGGAAGAAAAUGAAGGAAAACAUGCAUUCCAAGAAUUGAAUGGAAGUUCCACUUACGAAGAAAGGCAGCAACUGUUGUCCCGAUGCCCAAAUAUAUGAAGUUGAGAACAACCUGGAGAUAAAAAGAAUAUUCUCUGUUAACCCAACUAGCCACUCUUCAAGUUAAGUGAUCACCAUAAGCCGUGGCGCACCUUGGUGACAGCACGGAGGACGGUGCUCCUCGCGCUCUCGCCGAAGGAGUUGAUGACGUCCCCAAAGAGGACCGAGAUGAGGGGCUCCGACACGCCGUUGCCCACCGCCCCGAGCGAGCCGACCACCAUGAGCAGCAUGUCGAGGCGGUCGGCGUACCUGAACAUGCCGAGCAACGGCACCUUCUUCUCCGGCCGGUCAUCUUUUCCGCCGUGGGCGUGGCGUGCUCCUUCUCCACUACUAGCUUCUGCUGUCGCGUCCAUUUCCUGGCUGCUACUUGCUUUGUUGAUGUGCUCAACGACGAGCCUGGCCGCACUGCGCUGUGUGUAGUUCCUGUCCCCGGGGGUGGUGGAGGCACUAUAUAUACGCAUCUUGCGGGCCGCCCGGAGUGCCUUUGACUGUUGGGCUGAUUGGGUGCUCCGGAGCUGGAAGCGACCGGGAAAGUUUGCCAUGGAAUCUUCUCAAAAAAAAAAAAAGUUUGCCAUGGAAAAUUACACGGACUAUGUUACAGCAUGUGAUUAAUCAUGGGAAAGUUCACAACUCUUGCUGCUGCAGGUGCGACAAUUCAAGAUUCAUGGCGUACUUUUGUGCUUUGUCAAGCGUAGUCAGUCGGAUGGAUUGCGUUAAUCUUGUGAUCUGAGGUGCGCUAAGCUAGUUGGGCUCUUUGGUGUUCACAGAUAAUUGCUCUUGGAAAAAAAGAAAAGGUCACACCACGCUUUA